GGGAAUCUUUAGUGCAGCUCGUGUAUGGUGGAUGUUUAGAGUUUUUGGACAUGACAGAGUUUGGGUUCUAGAUGGUGGCUUGCCAAGAUGGCGUGCUUCAGGUUAUGAUGUCGAGUCACCUGGUGAUGCCAUUCUGAAAGCUAGUGUUGCCACUGAGGCAAUUGAGAAAGUAUACCAAGGACAGAUGGUUGGACCUUCUACCUUCCAGACCAAGUUUCAGCCUCAUCUUGUCUGGAGUCUUGAUCAGGUUAAAAGGAACAUUCAAGACCAGACAUAUCAGCAUAUAGAUGCUCGAUCCAAAGCUAGGUUUGAUGGUGUUGCACCAGAGCCUCGAAAAGGAAUUAACAGUGGACAUGUACCCGGGAGCAAGUGUAUUCCUUUUCCACAGAUGUUGGAUGGCUCACAGACACUCUUAUCCCGUGAAGAGCUCGAGAAAAAAUUUGGUCAAGAAGGUAUCUCUUUGGACAAGCCUAUAGUUGCCUCUUGUGGCACAGGUGUAACUGCUUGCGUACUUGUCUUGGGCCUCCAUCGACUGGGGAAGACUGACAUUCCAGUCUAUGAUGGUUCAUGGACAGAAUGGGCAACACAGCCAGAUACACCUCUCUGCACAUCUGAAAGAUGAAGACGUUUGUAUGGCCUGCCUAGUUUUUAUGGGUGAGCAAUGAUGAUUGUGAAUCUAGAUCUGGUUCCUUUUCUUAAUGGUUAGUGCAACAACUUACAUUGUAUUGUUGAAUGAUAACAACGGAAAAAUUUCUUCUCUGUUGUACAAAAUGCCUUAAUUUUACCUUCAUUAUAUUUUUGGUUAGUGCAAC
rnacentral:misc_RNA from 1 species